CUCCCUCUUCACCCCAGCCAUCCAACAUUAGAAUUUCAAGUCACAUCAGUUCAGUUUACAUUCCAAGAGUAAAGACUUCGGCUCUCUAGGUCAGCCUAGCAAUUUUUCCCCCUUUCCACUUGUGUGAUAUUUUCACUCAGUGAAAGAAUAAAUACUUACCUUUUUUAAGCCUUCUUUUUAUCCCCCUCAGGUUUGGGAGUCUGCAACUUGCCUCUUCAAACACCACAGCUGCCGAUGUUGGUUCCCUAUGGCCUUUAGCUCUAGAAUCAUGGACAGUUUCUGACCAGGGACUCCGAACUCUUCAACAACAUGCACCAAAGUUUCAUGGGAACCCACUCAGUGCCAGGUCCCGUGUAAUGCCCUCCCCCUGUGUGUGGGUGGGACCCGUGACUCUGAUGGGAUGUCCCUCCCAUGAAAAGGUCUUGAAGAAACAAACAGCCAUGCUGGGAUCUGCUUAUGGAGAGAAGUGGCUUCUAGGGGAUGUUGGCCCUAGUCUUUCAGCAGCAAGGAACCAACAGGAUAAAAUGCUGGGAAUCUGAAGUUUGCCAGCAACCUGAAUGAGGCU